rnacentral:rRNA from 1 species
UACGUAGGGGGCAAGCGUUGUCCGGAUUCAUUGGGCGUAAAGAGCGUGUAGGCGGCCAGGUAGGUCGGUUGUGAAAACUGGAGGCUCAACCUUCAGAGGUCGACCGAAACCAUCUGGCUAGAGUCCGGGAGAGGAGAGUGGAAUUCCUGGUGUAGCGGUGGAAUGCGCAGAUAUCAGGAAGAACACCCGUGGCGAAAGCGGCUCUCUGGAACGGUACUGACGCUGAGACGCGAAAGCGUGGGGGAGCGAACAGG